rnacentral:rRNA from 1 species
AGCGAACGCUGGCGGCAGGCUUAACACAUGCAAGUCGAGCGGGCCCUUCGGGGUCAGCGGCGGACGGGUGAGUAACGCGUGGGAACGUGCCCUCUGGUCUGGAAUAACCCUGGGAAACUAGGGCUAAUACCGGAUACGCCCUUUUGGGGAAAGGCUUGCUGCCGGAGGAUCGGCCCGCGUCUGAUUAGCUAGUUGGUGGGGUAACGGCCUACCAAGGCGACGAUCAGUAGCUGGUCUGAGAGGAUGAUCAGACACACUGGGACUGAGACACGGCCCAGACUCCUACGGGAGGCAGCAGUGGGGAAUAUUGGACAAUGGGCGCAAGCCUGAUCCAGCCAUGCCGCGUGAGUGAUGAAGGCCUUAGGGUUGUAAAGCUCUUUUCUCCGGGACGAUAAUGACGGUACCGGAGGAAUAAGCCCCGGCUAACUUCGUGCCAGCCGCCGCAGUAA